GCUUUACAGAGCUAGCAUACGUGUUUUUGGUAAACUAAGUUUAAGUCACCCUUGGCUAUUAAGACUAUUAAGAGUGCAAGUGGGAACCGAUGUGGUUACACAGCAUUUGGGUAUCUCGAGGUGGUACAGAAGAUAAUAGUCUUGGCUUAACACAUCUCUGAUACUUAUUGUAUCUUCAUGAUGCAAUUUCAGUGGUCUCUCUUCUUCUAGAUGAAAACUUCAAUCACUACACUUCCGAUGACAGUGUUGCAGUUGAUGCGAUAACCACAGGUUACGCUACGAUCAACCAGUGGAAUGCUCAGUGCAUUUGCUUAAUAACAAUAUUCUCUGUGCCGCAGUUGAGUGAAGCUUAGUUCAACCAUGAUAGUUUCAUCGCGUUCAAUUCGUCUCAUACCAGUUAUCUGGCCCGUUUUGGUUUGUAUUACCAUCAUAACUCCGUAUAUCAUAGCCGUAUCACUUGGCCAUGUCUACCCUUUCUUACCAAGCAUUAGCAAAGCGGCUUCAUUCGAACCACAGGCGUCACUCUUUGGUGCUCUGAUGACCUUGGUGGCUUUUCUUGGGCUGGUAAUGAUGGUGGCUCGGUAUGUUCAGGUUCAGGCAGUUCCUGGUGAUCUGGGGUGUGAAUUCUCAAGUAAGAUCAUCAGGUUAAACAAAGUUGGUCUACGGUUUGGCAUUUCGUGUCUCAUAGGAGUUGUCCUGGUCGCCAGUGUCAGGUCUUCUGCCAAAGUGAUCCGAUCAAUCGCGUGGCUUCAAAAUCACUUCAAUUCUGAGUGAUGAUUAUCCGAAGCGAAGACGCAGCUACAGAACAAGCAAUAGCUGCUGGAAUGAAUCAACUCUUCUCCCAAUGUCUCAAUUCAAAUAGUCCUAGAUUUAUUAUGUUUAAUAAUAUCAAUUAAUAAUAUCUCACCGUGUUGUCUCGUGUAAUGGCACACAAUUUACGAGGCGUUGUUAGGAUCACAAUAACCAUGCAAUCCGUUUUUUCAAUUUUAACUUCGAAACUUGUCUUUUGAUUUACACUGGUUUU